GUAUUGAUUGCGUGUUAUCGCAAAAAUGGGGUCACUCUACACUUUUAAAAGGGGGGGGUUUGUGUGAAAACGCAAGCCCCCUCCCAGAUUGGUUUGACCCUGAAGGGUGCCCACACGGUGUUGCACAAAAGGGUGAGAUAGAUUUUAUGUGAGAGGACACACUCUGGUGUGCACAACUUUUUGUGUUAAAAGUCAGCGACAGCCCUCGUGUGCCUCACACAUUUUGUACGAUAAUGAUAUUUCUGCAGGUUCACCUACAGAAA
rnacentral:misc_RNA from 1 species